rnacentral:rRNA from 1 species
GAUGAACGCUGGCGGCGUGCCUAAUACAUGCAAGUCGAGCGAACAGAUGAGGAGCUUGCUCCUCUGACGUUAGCGGCGGACGGGUGAGUAACACGUGGAUAACCUACCUAUAAGACUGGGAUAACUUCGGGAAACCGGAGCUAAUACCGGAUAAUAUAUUGAACCGCAUGGUUCAAUAGUGAAAGACGGUUUUGCUGUCACUUAUAGAUGGAUCCGCGCCGCAUUAGCUAGUUGGUAAGGUAACGGCUUACCAAGGCAACGAUGCGUAGCCGACCUGAGAGGGUGAUCGGCCACACUGGAACUUAGACACGGUCCAGACUCCUACGGGAGGCAGCAGUAGGGAAUCUUCCGCAAUGGGCGAAAGCUUGACGGAGCAACGCCGCGUGAGUGAUGAAGGUCUUCGGAUCGUAAUACUCUGUUAUUAGUGAAGAACAAAUGUGUAAGUAACUAUGCACGUCUUGACGGUACCUAAUCAGAAAGCCACGGCUAACUACGUG